rnacentral:rRNA from 1 species
CCUACGGGAGGCAGCAGUGGGGAAUAUUGGACAAUGGGGGGAACCCUGAUCCAGCCAUGCCGCGUGUGUGAAGAAGGCCCUCGGGUUGUAAAGCACUUUCAGUGAGGAAGAACGCCUGGUGGUUAAUACCCAUCAGGAAAGACAUCACUCACAGAAGAAGCACCGGCUAACUCCGUGCCAGCAGCCGCGGUAAUACGGAGGGUGCGAGCGUUAAUCGGAAUUACUGGGCGUAAAGCGCGCGUAGGAGGCUUGAUAAGCCGGUUGUGAAAGCCCCGGGCUCAACCUGGGAACGGCAUCCGGAACUGUCAAGCUAGAGUGCAGGAGAGGAAGGUAGAAUUCCCGGUGUAGCGGUGAAAUGCGUAGAGAUCGGGAGGAAUACCAGUGGCGAAGGCGGCCUUCUGGACUGACACUGACACUGAGGUGCGAAAGCGUGGGUAGCAAACAGGAUUAGAUACCCGUGUAGUC